rnacentral:rRNA from 1 species
AAUUGCCUUAGAUAGCGGCGAGUGAAGCGGCAAAAGCUCAAAUUUGAAAUCUGGCUCUUUCAGAGUCCGAGUUGUAAUUUGAAGAAGGUAUCUUUGGGUCUGGCUCUUGUCUAUGUUUCUUGGAACAGAACGUCACAGAGGGUGAGAAUCCCGUGCGAUGAGAUGAUCCAGGCCUAUGUAAAGUUCCUUCGAAGAGUCGAGUUGUUUGGGAAUGCAGCUCUAAGUGGGUGGUAAAUUCCAUCUAAAGCUAAAUAUUGGCGAGAGACCGAUAGCGAACAAGUACAGUGAUGGAAAGAUGAAAAGAACUUUGAAAAGAGAGUGAAAAAGUACGUGAAAUUGUUGAAAGGGAAGGGCUUGAGAUCAGACUUGGUAUUUUGUAUGUUACUUCUUCGGGGGUGGCCUCUACAGUUUAUCGGGCCAGCAUCAGUUUGGGCGGUAGGAGAAUUGCGUUGGAAUGUGGCACGGCUUCGGUUGUGUGUUAUAGCCUUCGUCGAUACUGCCAGCCUAGACUGAGGACUGCGGUUUAUACCUAGGAUGUUGGCAUAAUGAUCUUAAGUCGCCCGUCUUGAAACACGGACCUGCAAUAA